rnacentral:rRNA from 1 species
CCUACGGGUGGCAGCAGUGAGGAAUAUUGGUCAAUGGGCGAGAGCCUGAACCAGCCAAGUAGCGUGCAGGAAGACGGCCCUAUGGGUUGUAAACUGCUUUUAUGUGGGGAUAAAGUGAGCUACGUGUAGUUUAUUGCAGGUACCACAUGAAUAAGGACCGACUAAUUCCGUGCCAGCAGCCGCGGUAAUACGGAAGGUCCAGGCGUUAUCCGGAUUUAUUGGGUUUAAAGGGAGCGUAGGCCGUGGAUUAAGCGUGUUGUGAAAUGUAGACGCUCAACGUCUGAAUUGCAGCGCGAACUGGUUCACUUGAGUAUGCACAACGUAGGCGGAAUUCGUCGUGUAGCGGUGAAAUGCUUAGAUAUGACGAAGAACUCCGAUUGCGAAGGCAGCUUACGGGAGCACAACUGACGCUGAAGCUCGAAGGUGCGGGUAUCAAACAGGAUUAGAUACCCGAGUAGUC